GGCUCAGGAUGAACGCUAGCGGCAGGCCUAAUACAUGCAAGUCGAACGGGAUCCAGAUCAAAGCUUGCUUUGGUUUGGUGAGAGUGGCGCACGGGUGCGUAACGCGUGAGCAACCUACCCUUGUCAGGGGGAUAGCCCGGCGAAAGUCGGAUUAAUACCGCAUGACAUCAUUGAGAGGCAUCUUUCUAUGAUCAAAGAUUUAUCGGACAAGGAUGGGCUCGCGUGACAUUAGCUAGUUGGUAAGGUAACGGCUUACCAAGGCUACGAUGUCUAGGGGCUCUGAGAGGAGAAUCCCCCACACUGGUACUGAGACACGGACCAGACUCCUACGGGAGGCAGCAGUAAGGAAUAUUGGUCAAUGGACGGAAGUCUGAACCAGCCAUGCCGCGUGCAGGAGGACGGCCCUAUGGGUUGUAAACUGCUUUUAUACGGGAACAAACGUCAGGUACGUGUACCUGUCUGAG
rnacentral:rRNA from 1 species